UUUCAUAAGCACCAAGCGGUAUUAUACUCGAUUUUCAUCCCGGUAUUAACUUUAAUACGCCGAUUUCGGCGUAUUAAGAUAAUCCGAGAUUUUCGAAAUGUACGCAGCCGAAACCACAUUUGCCCUCACACACACCUGCAAAGAAAAAUAAUGACAGUUGCAUGUUUACUUUUUGUGCUGAGAUUUUGUGCUUUACUUUGAAUUCGAGUUUGCAAAAGUUUCAAGAACUGAGGUUUCUUUUGCGAUUGUUAAAAUCACACUUUAUUUUGCGCCGACGCCCUGAUGGCAAACAUAAACAGCCGGAAGUCGAACAUUUUGCUGGUGCCAACCUGGGACCUGGACUCGUUUCAAAUGCUAGUGAGUAGCACGAAAUGAAAGUGGAUCGCUAAAUCAUUUGGCCACGUUCUGGGCUGUGGAACCGGGGUAAUCAUGAACGAUACGCACCCGUGGCAGCACAUAAGAACCUGCUGCUUCUGCUUUCAUAGUUUCCCUUGCGCCAAGUGCUCAAGAUCUGCUGAACAAUCGCUCCGAGAUUUUAGGUUCCGGAUAAAAUGAUUCCAUCGUGCUCGAUCAUAUGCUUUGUCGGAAAAAUCGAACACCAAACGUGUGGCUACUGAAUCAACUUCUAACUACAUAUCUGGCAAUCAAGAUUUAGGAGCAUUUACGGGUUUGAUCGGUUUUGUGCUAAUGGACAAGAGUGGUUUUCGGGAACUAUUGUGGCUCAGAAGAUUCUUUGUAUUUGAAGAGGAACCGAUCAUGAAAAACUGACAGGACAAAACCUGCUAAAGUCCAUAUUACCUGAUAACCAUGAUGAUAGUAAUUGUUCUCAAAAUAUCGAGAGUGGCAAUGCUAUGUAUAUAUAUUUCAAAGUACGAUGGUAUGAUCUAAUUGUUAAAAAUAAAUUCGAAUAGGUAUGCACACGAAA